GAUAACCUACCUAUAAGACUGGGAUAACUUCGGGAAACCGGAGCUAAUACCGGAUAAUAUUUUGAACCGCAUGGUUCAAAAGUGAAAGACGGUCUUGCUGUCACUUAUAGAUGGAUCCGCGCUGCAUUAGCUAGUUGGUAAGGUAACGGCUUACCAAGGCAACGAUGCAUAGCCGACCUGAGAGGGUGAUCGGCCACACUGGAACUGAGACACGGUCCAGACUCCUACGGGAGGCAGCAGUAGGGAAUCUUCCGCAAUGGGCGAAAGCCUGACGGAGCAACGCCGCGUGAGUGAUGAAGGUCUUCGGAUCGUCCAACUCUGUUAUUAGGGAAGAACAUAUGUGUAAGUAACUGUGCACAUCUUGACGGUACCUAAUCAGAAAGCCACGGCUAACUACGUGCCAGCAGCCGCGGUAAUACGUAGGUGGCAAGCGUUAUCCGGAAUUAUUGGGCGUAAAGCGCGCGUAGGCGGCCUUUUAAGUCUGAUGUGAAAGCCCACGGCUCAACCGUGGAGGGUCAUUGGAAACUGGAAAACUUGAGUGCAGAAGAGGAAAGUGGAAUUCCAUGUGUAGCGGUGAAAUGCGCAGAGAUAUGGAGGAACACCAGUGGCGAAGGCCCCUUUCUGGUCUGUAACUGACGCUGAUGUGCGAAAGCGUGGGGAUCAAACAGGAUUAGAUACCCUGGUAGUCCACGCCGUAAACGAUGAGUGCUAAGUGCCAGGGGGUUUCCGCCCCUUAGUGCUGCAGCUAACGCAUUAAGCACUCCGCCUGGGGAGUACGACCGCAAGGUUGAAACUCAAAGGAAUUGACGGGGACCCGCACAAGCGGUGGAGCAUGUGGUUUAAUUCGAAGCAACGCGAAGAACCUUACCAAAUCUUCCCAUCCUUUGACAACUCUAGAGAUAGAGCCUUCCCCUUCGGGGGACACCGUGACAGGUGGUGCAUGGUUGUCGUCAGCUCGUGUCGUGAGAUGUUGCCUUAAGUCCCGCAACGAGCGCAACCCUUAAGCUUAGUUGCCAUCAUCCAGUUGGGCACUCUAAGUUGACUGCCGGUGACAAACCGGAGGAAGGUGGGGAUGACGUCAAAUCAUCAUGCCCCUUAUGAUUUGGGCUACACACGUGCUACAAUGGACAAUACAAAGGGCAGCGAAACCGCGAGGUCAAGCAAAUCCCAUCCAGUUGUUCUCAGUUCGGAUUGUAGUCUGCAACUCGACUACAUGAAGCUGGAAUCGCUAGUAAUCGUAGAUCAGCAUGCUACGGUGAAUACGUUCCCGGGUCUUGUACACACCGCCCGUCACACCACGAGAGUUUGUA
rnacentral:rRNA from 1 species